rnacentral:rRNA from 1 species
CCUACGGGAGGCUGCAGUGAGGAAUAUUGCGCAAUGGGGGAAACCCUGACGCAGCAACGCCGCGUGAGUGAGGAAGGUUUUCGGACCGUAAAGCUCUGUCGAGCGGGAAGAAAUGCAUUAUGGCUAAUAUCCAUGAUGCUUGACGGUACCGCUAAAGGAAGCACCGGCUAACUCCGUGCCAGCAGCCGCGGUAAUACGGGGGGUGCUAGCGUUGUUCGGGAGCAUUGGGCGUUGGACAAGUGUAAUGUGCAAGCCCUGGGCUUAACCCAGGAAGUGCAUUUGAAACUGUUCAGCUUGAGUAAGGGAGAGGAAAGUGGAAUUCCUGGUGUAGAGGUGAAAUUCGUAGAUAUCAGGAGGAACACCGGUGGCGAAGGCGACUUUCUGGCCCUAUACUGACGCUGAGACGCGAGAGCGUGGGUAGCAAACAGGAUUAGAUACCCUAGUAGUC